rnacentral:lncRNA from 1 species
UAAAAUCAAGCUCAUGGCAAUAUAAAUAUAAAGAGAUGAAAACAAGAGGAGUAAGAUGAAAGAAAAGAUUUUCUUCUUAUUCAAGUGUAUUUUACAAAAGGUGAAUGAUAUCUCUAUUUAUAGAGUAGAAAUAUCACCCAAAGGCCACCAUGAUAAAUGCUCAAUUAAUAAGUACAUAGUUAUCUAUAAAGGUUCAUGUCACCUUGGAAAUGUAGAUACAUGAUAUGAUAAGUUCAUGAAGAAAGCAAAUGGACAAUCCACACAAUUCAAUGGAUUUAUAACACUCCCUCUUGGAUGUCCAUAGAUAAUGUGCCUCGUUAAAACCUUACUAGGAAAAACCCCAUGGGAAAAAAUUCUAGUGAAGGAAAAAGAGUACACAUAUCUUUUGAUACGCACUAUUUGUUGCCUCAUUAAAAACCUUACCAGGAAAACCCAGUGGGAAAAAAACCUCGGUCAAGGGAAAAAGAGUGCAACGCGUAUUAUACUCCCCCUGAUUUAAACAUCACUUAAUUUCUUGUGAUGAUGUCUCCAAUCUUCGUACAUUGUGGUUGGUAUAUUCUUUUUUAAAGAAAAACCACACAUUUCUUGAAUAUGGUGUGUCAUUUAUCUCAACCAAACGCACUUUCAACUUGCUUCAUGGAGGACUUUUAUUUCUGCAUAGCAACAUUUGUUUGCUUCAUUGAUCGCCAGGAUAUUAUUGUGCCUCCACAUGAAUACACAUAGUGUGGUUGAGAUAGAGCUUUAUACGGAUCAGAUAAAUAUUCUGCAUUUGCGUAACCAAUCAAUUUUGUCUUGGAUUCCUCGGAAUAGAAUAAACCCAUAACUAUGGUCCUUUGAGGAUAUUCAAUCAUGUGAUCAACACCAUUUCAAUGUCCUUUUAUCGGGGAGAAACUGAAUCUUGCCAGUAAAUUUACUGCAAAACAAAUAUCUGGUCAAAUAUUGUUAGUAAGACGCACUAGUGCCCUGAUUGCACCAAGAUAGAGUUUCAUCACCAAGAAACUCUUCAUCCUUGUUUUGAGAUCAAACUGAAUCAUCAUUUAUGUCAAGUGAUCUCAUAAUCAUUGGGGUACUCAAUGAAUGUGAUUUAUCCAUAUUAAAUUGCAUCAAAACUUUUUAGUGUAUGUGCACUGUUAAACAAAUAUUUCAUUUGUCAAAUUAUCAAUCUGUAGGUCAAGACAAAAUUUUGUCUUACCAAAACCUUUUCAUAAAAAUACAAGGACAAUUAGGGUCAUUCUUUUGUACCCUUUUUCUUCCUUGACCAUUUCAAUCCAUAUAAGGAUUCUUGAAGCUUUGUUGAAAAAGUUUCUUUCAAACUCUUAUAUGCUUCAGACACCUCGAUUGUUUCAAGGAUUUUCAUAUAACCUUCAUUCUCUAGCUAGACAUUACAAUUAUUCAUUACAUGCAUUCAAGUUUUUCAUAUGUUGCCAGAUCAAAACAAACCUCAUUUCAUCCACCAAAGGAGAAAACAUCUCCACUAAUAUCAGGAUUUUUGCGAUAAACCUUUAUGCCCCAAGGCACAAACCAUAUUUGAUAUCUUACGGUUAUACUAUCGCAUAAUAAUUUAUUUGUACCCCACUGACAUUAUACCUUGAUUUAUGGACUACCAGUCCAAAAUGUCACUUUUCUAAGUGAAACAAAAUAUACUUGAAUUGUGCAUUUUACUUGGCCAACCAUUUAUCUGUUCACAGUAUAUGACAGAUUUGAAUUCAAGAUCCUCAUCACAAUUUAUAUCAUUGAGCGCUACCUCAUAUCAAAGAUACCGUCGACGGUUAUUUUUGAUACCGAUUCCAACAAGACAUAACUUAUCGAGAUCUCUUCAUUUUUCAUUAUUUCAGGUACCUGAACCUUUUUGAAGAUUUUAUGAAGUGUUAUGUCAAUGUGCUCCUUUAUAGCACUUGCCUCAUUAUCAUGAACAUAUUGAUCAUUUGCUCUUUCCUUCUUCAAGGAAUUUUAUAUUUGGAAUCGAUUUGUCUAUUACGCUUUCGGCGUAUCAUAGACUCUUUCCUUCAAGGACUUCACAUUGGAGCAUUUGCAGCUGAAUUAUAUCAUAGGGUCAGUGCAUUCAUUUGGCAACUGAUUUGCAACAUUAUGCAACUGAAUUAUCCCUUGAACUUUAAGUUCACAUAUUUAUUUUAACGAGGAUCUAGAUAAUUCAUAAUUAACCUCACACAUAAUUUUCAGCUGUCAAUCAUCUCUCCCCCUAAUAUUAGAAAAUCUAACAUUCAUUCCAACCUUAUUUGGAAGUUCAUCUUUGUGCGUGGUGGAGAUAUUAAAAUCAUAAUCGCACAUUCAACAUUUUAGAUGAAAAUUAUAUGGUUCCUAACCCUGAACCAAUUUUAAUGGGGAAACCUUGUUGGUUUGAAGCAUACAUGUGUUGCUACAUGUUAAACAAAAUUAUCUCAUACCAAAUCUUAUUUGGGAGUUUUGUUCUCAUAACCAUGAUUUAGCUAUAAUUGGAGGCAUACAAUUUCUGCUAAAUCAACCAGUAUUAUCAAUAUAAUUUCAUAAUUUGGAACUAUGCUAUUAAUUUUAACAAUUCGAGCAAACAACCUUACAAAAACCAAUUUGUAAGUUGACAACAAAAUACAUGUGACCAUCGCAUAGAUGCAUUAAUCAUAUAGUUGCAAAUGAUCCACAUGACAGGUGAACAUACCCAUAUUCACCCUUUUAUAUGUUCCAAAAAAUUUUAGGGGAUUACAGUCCCAACCUUAGCUGGUACAAUGAUCAUUUUAUCAAGAGAACAAGCAACACAAGAGAAUUCUUGAAGAAUCUUUAUUUCUUCAUCAUAUAAAUCACCUGAAUUCUCAAUCACGUUUGCAUUACAUUUAAUCGGAAUGGUCAACCAGUCAUGCCAACUGAUUUUUAUUUUAGUACACUUAUAAUUUACUUUUACAUGUGAUUUCAUCAGCAUGUACAUGUUUUUAUGGAACAAACAGGAGGAAAAGUGGGGUAAUCUUUUACAUAAACAUUAUAACCCUCUUCGGUUGUAGUAAUUUAUAGUCUCAAUAUUUAUUUUCAUUCAUCCGAAACUUAAAAAGUUUCUUUUGAGACUUACUACAACCCCAAUAUUAUUCCUCUGAUUAUAGCACAACUCGUUAGAGCUUACAAUUAAUUUUGUGUACUAUGACAUAUUGCAUGAUAUUGCAUGACACCAUCCCUAUGGUGAGCAUCUCCUUCAAGGAGGAAAUUAUAUUAUUAUUGUCAUGGUCAAAAUCAUUACGAGCAAGACGUCUUUCUUGCUUUACUUUUGUUGUACCAUAGGUACACAACCAAUGACAAAUUUGUAUUGCCACACAAUAAUGACCACAACCCUUAUAGGCAAGAACUAUUUCUUUCUUUUGCCCUUUCGGUAGUUUAUAUCAUAGUGACGUAUAAAACGUACAAUACAAUUAGCCAUUUCUACCAAAUAAAAUUUAUUUCCUCUCAAAUCUCCCGUAGAGAUGAGAAGUGACAUGUAUCAUUUUUUUUCUCAAACCUUCUAUAGAUGUGAGUUGUGACAUAUAUCCAAUCCAUAAUGAUUUUAUCAUAUCUGAACUCAUUCUCUUAUAGAAUGGUCGAGCAUUCACGAUACUCAUUACAAGUCACAUUCUCUUCAAGGAUUGGACUAAUUAUUUAUAUGUACCUCAUAAAUUUGCAUUAUAAGCACAUUGUCAUGGCCUUAAAAUUCAUCAUAUUUCCAUGACACACCUCAACAUCACUUUGAAAGAUUAAGUGUACCAUCACUUUAUCUUCUUGUAUCAUGAUAGAGGAUUUAUAAAUUUGUCAAAUUAUUGGGUUGACAACAUUCACAAGUCUAAUGACCUUUCAUACCAUUUUGAUAAUAAAAAUUGCCUUCACAUUUUGAAGGACUAUUUGAAGAACUCAUAGUGUUCUUCCUUUUAUCAUUACCACAAUGAUGACUAUUAUAAUUAUGUCCCUGAACUGAUAGUCAUCGCCUUUCCCUUUCGACUGGACAAAUUCAAUAGCUGCUCCUAGCCCGAUUCCAAGCCCUUAUUCAUAUCAUUAAUCAUUUGUCAUCUUUCAGAGUAACAUUCACUGCUACCACAUUCAUAUGAUUGAAUGGAGAAAGUUAACAGACGGAUUUCAGAAUUAUUACAUGUUGCUACCACAUUCUUUUCAAGGAAUGAAGCAAAUUCAAUAGGACGAAUUUCAAGAUUUUUCAUCAAAGCCUUAGUCAUCAUUAUAUCAUCAUUAUGGUGCAUUGACUCGAACUCAAUGUCUUAUCCAUAUAAGGCGUUUUACGCCAUAAUUCUAUGGGACUUGAACCCAAUCACAGUGCAUCAAAACUCAAAUUGAUGUCUUACCCUUUUGGUGCAAUAGAACUUGAAUCUAUCGUCUUAUCCUCAAAUAUUUUUCAUUAUGGUGCAUCCGGACUUUAAUCAGAUGUCUUAACCUUUAACCAACGGUAUAAUAAACCGAAGUACAACAUGACUCAUCCUUUGAGUCUUUCAAAACAAUCAAAAUAACAUUCAAAUUCAUGCUAUUAAAAUUUUAUACCUUCUUCUAUUUAAGAAAUUUUGUAUAGCAUGUCAUAUUCAACCAAUAGUAGUAUAUGUCUUCGGUUCCUGAUAAUUGUUAGUGACUGAAUACUAUUUUUAUUCUAAAUUAUAAAAAUAUUCUAGAAAAUACAUACCUGAUUUUAUGCAUAUAAUACCUUGAUUCUCAUAACGAGAUCAACCAAAACAUGAGUUAAAGAAAACUAAAAAUCAAUCUUAAUUGACUAGAGACUCGUGCUGAUAACGUGUUAUAAAAUCAAGCUCAUGGCAAUAUAAAUAUAAAGAGAUGAAAACAAGAGGAGUAAGAUGAAAGAAAAGAUUUUCUUCUUAUUCAAGUGUAUUUUACAAAAGGUGAAUGAUAUCUCUAUUUAUAGAGUAGAAAUAUCACCCAAAGGCCACCAUGAUAAAUGCUCAAUUAAUAAGUACAUAGUUAUCUAUAAAGGUUCAUGUCCCCUUGGAAAUGUAGAUACAUGAUAGGAUAAGUUCAUGAAGAAAGCAAAUGGACAAUCCACACAAUUCAAUGAAUUUAUAACAUUUAUUUAAUUGUAUGAUAUUGAUAUGUGUUCACAUUUCAAAAUUUGUAUAUAAAUGGGCUACUAUCAAAUAUCAAUGAUUUUCUUUCAAGUAAUAAUAAACAAGUGUAUAAAAAUUGAUGUGUCUCUCUCUCUAUAUAUAUAUGUAUAUGUAUGUAUUAUAUAAAAUGUAAGCAACCUAUUAAAAAAUUAAUUAAAAUAUCAACAAGUCAUUUUAAAAAAUCAAACACCUAUUUUAAUAUCUUGAAAAUUUUCAUUCAUGAUUUAUAUUCGAAAAAAAGUUUGAAAAAAUAUGGGGCUUAUUACUUAUUAGCACUUAGUAGACUAUGGAGAAAAAAUGGGAUUUCAAGUAAUUAAUGAUUGAUUUUUUAUUUUGGAAAACAUGAAAAAUAAAAAUUUCUAAAUUGUAGUUAGACAAUUAUUUUGAUAACGGUCAUAAAAAUAUGUAUUUUAUUUCUCUUUUCAACAUUAAAUAUGAAGAUAAAAAUAAAUAAAAUUUAAUUAACGAAAUUAAUUUAAGUCUGUUAUCACUCGUAAUUAAAUUGUUUUAUUCGUAAUUUCUAAAAGAUAUAUUUAUAUGAUGUAAUAUAGGAUCUUAAAUACAUAUACGAGGUAAAUUUUCCACUUUAUAAUGUUGUGUUAGUCCAACACAACUCCCACUUUUAAAUAAGAAUAAUAAUAAUAAUAUUUUCUUUUUAAGUUCUUUUAAAAAAAUAAUGAUUGGUGAAAUUUGAAGACUAAAAAUCACAUUAUUUACUUAAUUGAAGGGCAAGUUUUGCUUUGUUCAACCAUGCAUGAAUCUAAAUCAUCCAGAGUAUAUAAAAUAUUAUUUCAUGGAUCAAAAGUCGUUAUUUUCCAAGAUUGUUAAUGAUACUACUAUUAAGCUAGUGCUUAGCACUAAUGAGAAUUAAUUAUUGACUACCUUUUCCCUAAGCAUAGAGUUAUUUUAUGAUUUGUGAUUUUGAAAGGUUGCACUAAUUAGAGUGAUGAUUUAACAACUUUAAAUUGCUUAGAAAAAAAACAUAAUUAGGUCCACCACCAUGUGUGGAGGAGGACUAAUUAGUAUACAAUGAUGAUAAGAAAGUGAAAGGGGACACUUAUAAUUGAACAAUAACAUGCAAAAAUAAUUAAAUUUAACAUAACUUUAUACUUAAUAUUCUUGACCAUGGUUUUUGUAUAUAUUCUUAAUAUGAGAAGAAAAAAGAUAAAUAAUUUAAUAUUUGUUUUACUAUUAUUUAUAUUUCUAUAGCAAUCAUCUAAGCCUUUUUUAGAGGGACUUAUAUAGUUCUGUAUGUUCUUUUCAUACUUGUAUUGACAUAUUUCAUUUGAAUUUUGGAUAUAUUGAAAAAAAAUCUUUUCACUUUAAAAAUAUAAAAACAAGAUUGCUACACGCCUAAUACUACCCUCUCUAGAUCUCUCAUUUACGGGAUUACAUAUAAUAUAUUAUUGUUGUUGUAUUUAAGUCCUAAUUGUUUAGUUGAAAUCAUAUUUGUUUUCUCGUUUGUCCCUCAAAAUUUGGUCUCUUCACAUCAAAAUUUUUACAAAUUAAUAUUAUGGAUGUUAUUUUACAUUUAAUAUGUAAUUGCUUCACAUUUUCACUUUUAAUAAUAUUAUGGAUAUUAUUUUACAAAUUAAUAUUAUGUAACAUUUUAUCAACUAAUUGCUUCACAUUUUCACUUUUCAAACCAUAAUUCUGAAAUGUAUUUACUAUUCUAAAUCAUUAUGUUUAUACUCUUCAAUCAUUAUAUUAUACUUCUAACAUAUGAGUUAUGACAUGUCAAAAUAGAUUUAUUAUACAAAAAUGAUCAUAUUUGUUAUUAAAAAACUAGUAUAGACAGUAAAAAUUUUUGGAGAUUUUUCGAGAUGAAUUCAAUCUCUAUUAGGGUUUUUGAGCUACGCUUUCUAAGCUUUAGCUCACGCCUAUAAAAGGUAACAUAUUUCUUUAAAGAGACAUCUUAAAAUUCCAUAAACUCACGAAAUAUUCAUCAGAAGAUCAAGUCAUCAAAUAAUGUCUUUGUCAAAAUUAGUGUUUGACAUUAUUCCCAAUGAUCAAAUACAUAACAAGAAAAUUCAAAUCAUCUUACAUUCGAAAAAUGUGUUACUGACGACAAAAAAUAUUUUACUUUUAAAAAUCUAUCUAAAAAUGUGGGGUAGAGGAAGAGUUUCUUUUGUAUCUCAGUGUAUUCAAGGUCUUAUAUCUGAGGCAAAACCUCUGAUUUUACAAAGAUAUAUUUUGCUCUUUAUAAAAACUAAUUUGCUUGAAGGCAAUUUUCAAAUAAAAGCCAAAAUUAAAUUAUUUGAAUAUUAUAUUAUGUUCAACGUUAAAAGGAUGAUAAAUAAAAUCAAUAAAUUUUUAAAGUCCAGUUAUCCAAAAAUUUAGCAUCUUUUUAUUUCUAAAUAAAUUUAUUAGCUGAACGGAAAAUAAGGGCAAAUGAUUUGCAAGUUUUAGAAAAAAAUAUCAAAUAUUCCUUGAACUAUUUACAAAAAUAUAUUUUAUUCUUUUAAUUUAAAAUCUUCUUAUUUUCUUUGUUUCGUAAAUAAGUUAAACGCAUAAAAAAAAUUAUUUUUCUUUGCUGUGUAUUGUUGCAUCAUGUAUGUAUUUAAAAUUUGCUCAAAUACACAUAAUUUCUUUUUCUUUUUACCUUCUUUCUUUCUUUUCUAUUGGUUUUUAUUUUAUUUUAUUUGGAUUUGAUUUUUAAAAGUACAUAUAAUUUCUUCAAAUUAAUUGAAAGUGAUAAAAGAAAUAAAUAUUUUUUAUGUCCAUUGUCCAACAAUAUUUGUUCACUAUUGAUUUUACACACUUUUUAAGAUUGAUUUUACACACUUUUUAAGAAAUUAUAAAUAGAAGAUAAUUUUAUCAUCCUUUAAAUAUAAUAAAUAUAGUGUCUUGAAAAAAAUGUAAUUUAGUUAAUGAUAUGGAUAAACUAGAAACUAAAUGUAAAAUUAUUCAUUAAUUCCAUAAAUUAGACAAAUAUUUUCUAACAUCUCAAAGUAUAAACACAACGAUUGUUGGACGGAAAGAGUAUUUCACUACUAAAGGAAGGAAAUGAAUUAUAUAUUAUGUGUAUUAACUAAUUGUAAAAUAUUUCGUCUUUUAUCAGUUUUUUCUCAUAUUUUCAUCUCUCACUUGUUUUCAAGCAAGUAUACUCUCCAUGUCAUCUCAAGGAUAUUCUUCUAUCUCAAUUUAUAUGACUUUUUUUUUUAAAUCAUGUAAUUUAGUUUGACGGGGAAGUUGUGUAUGAAAUUUUUAAUUUUUUUUAAAAUUAAAAUUUAUAUAUUUAUAAACUACAUAAAUGGUAUUAUAAAUCAUAAUAAUUAAAAAUUUAAAAUAUUUAAGAUAAAAAAUAAAUUUAUUUAAAUCUCGAGAUCUGAAAAAUAUCACAUUGAGACGAAAGAAGUAUAUUCUUACUGCCUGUUUGGAUUGACUUAUUUUAGGUGUUUUUAAGUCAAAAUAAUUUCUAAGCAGUUUUGAAGUGUUUGACUAAAGUUAAAAAGUACUUAUAAGCACUUAUUUCAAAGUCAAAAAAAACAAAAAUAAGUCGAAUGUCAUAAGCUAGAAAUCCUAACUUAUGGCUUUUAACUUAUAAGUCAUAAGCCAAAAACAAAUCCAAAACAGGCCCUUAGUAGGCGUUUGACCAUGCGAUAUCAUAUCACGAUAUUGUAUCGUGAGAUGACUCCGCAUUUGGACAUGCGAUUUUACAUUGAUUUCAUCUCAUGAUUUCAUUUCAUGAGAUAUAAUUCUAUAUUCUCCAAAAACCAUGAUAUGAGAAUUCCAUAUAAUGAUUUGAGAUAUUUUUAAUACAAAAAUUGACUUACAUGUUUAUAUUUUGUUUAAGCAAUCCUAUAUUUAUAUCUACUAACUAUUUAUUUUAUAUUUAUAGAAAAUUUAUAAUGACAUCGUUACUUUUUUAAACUUAUUAUUCUCAUCAACAUAUAGUCACUUUACCUCACACCAACCGAUUGUUGAGUAAUAUUAACUAGUACACUACAAUUUGUGUUUAAUUUUUUUAUUGAAUUAAAGUUAGAUGAAAUAGUUGCUUACUUACAUGGAGAACAAAUAACAAGUUAAUAAUAUAAUAUGUAAUUUUAUAAACUUUUAUUUUUUUGAUAAAAUUGAAUAAACAAUUGGGAUUAUUUUAAUAGUCUUACAACUUAUAAAAUUUUUACGUUUAUAAAAAAAAUAUAUAACAUCAAAAUUUUAUAUCACAUAUUCAAAUAAAACUUUAAUUUUAUCUCAUAAUCUAUAUUAUAAUAUCAUAUCAUAAUACGAACAAGCCCUACUUAUACUUUAAAAUAGUCCAAAAUAAUAAAAAGGUGACAGAAAAAUAUUCUAACGUGGGGUACACAGGACAGCCCAAAGUAUACGGAAUUUGCGUUAAAGGAGAAAUUUUUUCUAUUAUUUUUUCAUAAUACACAAAUUGCAGUGUACGGCUUACUGUCAUCCAAAUCUGAAUUAGUAGUUUUAUUUAUUUAUUUGAUAAUUAGAAUUUACAUUAUAAAAUUUCUUUUUAAAAUAAUAUUUUGAAUAGCUGAAAUUUGAGAUCUCUAAUUAUAGAUGAAAUAAUCUUAAUACUGUGUCAUAAUUUAUAUUGGUUAAUAGAGUAUUAUUAUCACUCACUAAUCACUAUAUUCUCUUCACAUUGUUACCUAAAACCACAACCCUCCAAACAAAUCAUUAUUAACUUAUAAUACACAAUAUCUUCUUGACUAAAUAAUGAUACACUUUUUAUUUGGCAUUUUGUCACCUAAAGCAACCAACUACUCGAAUUUGGGUGAAAAACUUCCUCUUUUCGUGCUUUCAUUUUCACCCAAUAGUUUUUUUUUCUUUUUUCGUGCUCUUUGAUAUUUAUACUGAAGUUUUGAUUAAUUGCGUGAUGCUCAUUUAAGAAGGAUAAUGUUUUCUAACAUAAUUUUUUUAAUAUUUCAUAAUUAAAUUCAAAAUUCAUUUAAGGAGGAUAAUACUUCCUAACAUAAUUUUUCUUAUAUUUCAUAGUUAAAUUCAAAAUUUUUGAUUAAAAAUAAUAAUUUUAUUUAUUUCACCGUAAUUUUUAUUGACAAAAUCUAAAAUGGUCAUUGAGUCCCGUGUUCAUUCACAUGCAAUGGUUGAUUUAUGUGUCCCUUGGCUUUCUUCCUUCGGCAUUACUUACCUAAUCCUAAUUUAAUUUUUUUCAUUUGUUUCUUCUGUAAAUAAAACAAAUUUAGUAUAUUGAGGUUGAAGUUAAUCUAGACUAAUACAAUUAUAAUAAUAUAUUCAUUUAAAUCUCACAUGUGGUGUUUGCAUAAAGAUACUAUAUUUAGAUUUUAUAUCUUCACAAAUUAGAAGUAAAUACUUUUCAGAUCUUACUUAGUAAAAUUUUAUUAGAAUUGUUAGUAUUAAUGUUGUUGUAUUUAUUAGACCUUAUACCUUUAUUUGAUUACCUUGUGAAGGUGGAAAAUUUAUGUACAAAAAUUAUCAUCACCUUAAUUACAGAACUUAAAAAAAUUAUGAAGGAAAAGAAUUACAUUAAAAAGAAAAUAACAACUAACUAUGAUGGAAAAUACUUGCACUUAAAAAGAACAUAGCAACUAAUAAUAAGGUAAGGAGAGUGUUCAAGUAUUAAACACACCAUUUAACUUAGCGUAAAUUAUGAGUUUUAUUUAUAAAUUAUUAACAGUCUUAAAAAUACUCUUUUAUUUGACUAACUAAAUUUAGAUACACUUUAAUUUCAACAUGAUCUAACAAAUGAUUUCAAUAUCUUGUAGAAGCAUGGUGCUCUUAGUAAAAAAUCGAAAAAAGUGUUGAAAACAACCAAAUCUUGGCGAGAAUUUAAGAUAUAUUUACUCGUAUUGCAAGAUUGGGGUGAAUUUAAGUUUAGUUAAUCAAAUAAAAAAAUAUUUCAAACAUUAUUAAUAAUUUAGGGAUGAAAUUAAUAAUUCACGUAUUUUCAAUAAUUAAGAAAUUUUUGCUCUUUUUACCUGAAAUUGACAGUAUUUUCUCUAUUUAGAGAAGAUCCAUUACUGCUUCCUUCCUAAAUGAAUUGUUAUUAUAGUUAAAGAAAAUUAUCACAAUCUAAAAUGUCACUUUCGAAAUUUAAGAAUGGAGUUAGCAAAUCAUUUUAAUUAUACAUACUUAAAGAGGAAAAAUCAAUCUAUUUCUAUUAAAUAUAUAUAGUAACUAAUUAGUAAAUUAUAUUUUUAUUAAUUAUUUUCGUAAGGUAAAAAGCUAAAGAAACAGUUAAAAGUGGAUUGGAUGGAGUAUCUUUUAUCAUAUUAUAUGGUUUUAGUGCAUGACCAAUUUCUAAAAUUUAUGAUGAUUUUUUAUUUAAAUACUCGAAUUAAGUCAUAUUUCAAUUAAACACUUUAAUUCAUGACAAAAUUAUCUAAUUAAACACUUUUGAUUAAUUUUUUUGAAUUUGUUCGUGUGUAUUCUAUCUCUAAAGUAUAUGGUUAAGUUAGCAAUAUAAACUAUACCGUUUUCUUUAAUUAUAUUUGCACAUUCGCCUCAAUAAGUCAUAAAACUUCAGACGAUUUUUUACUAGACAUUGAUGCGUAUAAUUAGAGGAGCUGACAUAUUUUAUAUGGUUAACUUAACUAUUUAAUAGAUGAAUGAAGAAGUCUUUUUUUUUUUCAAAAGAAAUUGAAUUAAACUAUUUAAUUAGAACAAUUUAUAAGGAGUUUAGGUAUUUAACUGGACUUGUACCUCUUUCACACACACACACACACACAUAUAUAUAUAUAUAAAUUUGAAAAAUAUUAUUUUUAAAUAUAAAAUUUGUCAUUCUUCUUUUAAAAAAAAUAAUAAAAAGUACUAAACAAAAUAAGGAAGGGAGUAGUUUAAUUUGAGCUUACAUGAAAAUUAAUUAAGAGAAGAAUUAUUAAUUGAAAGAUUAUGCAUUGUUAUUUAAUUAUAUAAAGAAAUUUAAAGUAGAGAGAUAAGUAAACAAAGUUACUUAGGCUUCAUCUAUAUUUGUACCUAAUGAUAUAUCUCCAUCUUAAUUAUCGAUUCUCAAUCAUUAAAUCUAUCUAUUUUGAUAAUUUUUUAUUUUUAUACACACUUAAUAGUCUAAAUAGAUUGAAAUGAAUGACAAGAAUCUAUAACAAACUGUUAAUAUUAUUAAGAUGUUUAUUAAAAAUUUUAUAUAAAAAUAAUUAUUCAUCACAACAAUCCAUCCAUAUUUCUUUCUUGCUACCACUGCCAUCUCCCACUAUUUCUUUAUCACCCGUUAUUAUCGAUUAUCAUUUUCAACACAAUUAUUAUUGUCGUCAAUUAUCUUAGUCAGUUAUCAUCAUCAUUAAUCAUUAUUAAUAAUCAUUAUCAUACACCAACAACUCUCUUACAAUCAUCAAUCAAUAAUUAUUAUAUACCGUCGAUAGUUAUCUUUACUCACCAUCAAAAUUAGCUAUUUUACCAUUAUUCAUCACAAUUAUUAAUUAUCACCAUCAACAAUGAAAAUUAACAAUCAUUAUAGUCUUUAAUCACUAUCACCAUUACCAUUAAUUACUUCGUAUAACCACCAUCAUCGUCCAAGACAACAUUGAUACACACACUAACCAUCACUAGCCAUUAAUAUUACUAGCAUCAAUUAUCAUAUAAAAACUUUUUUAUUAAUACAAAAUGCAUAUAACUUAAUCCAUAAUCUCUUUUCAUAUAAUUUAAUUUAUAGCUUUGAUUCCAGACAUCAUGAUGACUCAAUUCUUACAGGAAAAGGGAAUCUUCCAUGCAAUUAGCAAGAAAGUGGUUCUCCUCAACUAAGAAAUUGUAUACAUAAAUUAAUAGAGGCUAUAAUUUAAAAUUAGUUGAUUUUUUUUCCUUAAAUCUCAAAGAGAAAGAAUAAACUUUUUGGGUCAUGUUUCUUUUUUUAUUCACUUUCUUAUUAUUUAUCCUUUCCUUCUGUGAUUACAAUAUAUUUUAAAAAUAUCUAAUUCUUUUCUAUAUUUUAUAUUUGUUUGUGAUAUAUUUUACUUAAACUAAAUGACUAUCGAAAAUAAUAAAAAUAAAAUUAUUUAUACCACACCCUUUUUAGAUGUCACCUAUAAAGUUAACUAAAUUUGUUGUGAUUAUUUUUAUGUCUAAUUAAUAUCAAACAGUUUUUAAAAAAAAAAAAAGAAAAAGAAAAAAAAAGAGUAUCAAGUUUGAGAUAUAACGACAAAUAGAGGUGGUUAUAAUCAUUCGAUUUGACAGCUACUAUGGAAUCCUCUUACGCUAUACUUUUUUUUAUCAUUGUUAUUUAUUGUAUUGUAUGUAUCGUUACUAUAUUUACAAUAUUUUUUAUCGUUAUUUAAAAUAUAUUGUAUUGUGUGUUGUUAAAUUUCAUUAUUACGUAAAAAUAAAAACUCUUAUUUUAUGGAAUAAUCAAUUUAGUGUAUUGUUACUUAAUUUCUUUUUUCAAUUAUAUCUUUAUAUAAUAUUCCCAAAUACUAUUUUACUCUUAACCUUAAUUAUUUAAAUCUAGUCAAACCUCCUACCCUAGGAUAAUUAAUGAUAUUUUUGUAAAUUUAUAAAUUACAAUCAAACCAAACAACUAAAAAGUUAUUAAACAACAACAAACAAUACAGUCUAGACAAACAUUGUAUCUACCAUACAAUACAGUACAAUAAAGUGCAAUACAGUACAAUACAUUAUGAAACAAUAGGUAACAAUAAUCCAAACAAAGUGUUAACGUUUUGUUGUUUAAUUAAAUAAAAAUACUCCUAAUAGGAAAAUUGGAACAAAAUGAGUUAGAAAGUCUGUAGAAUUAUUAGCAGGCGAACAAUUUCCACGAAUAUUUUUAACUUGUGUAUUUUUCUAUCUGUAGAGUAUAUUAAAUAUACAAAAAUAAUUAUAAUAGAGUUAUGAGUCAUUCUAAAGGGCGGGGUUGUGAACAAACGAUCCAACAAAGAAGACUAUUCGUUUCUUAAUCAGAUGUCUCAAAUUUAAAUUAUAGAUAUAAAAUAUUAUUAAUAGAAAAAAUUUCUUCUCAAAUAAGAUCUUGCAUAGCUUAAAUUAAAAUUGAUCCGACUUUAAUGAUGAUAAAAGAAAUUGUUAGGUUGAAAUAAAGCAAAAGUCAAGUAUAGAGAAACACAAGUGCUUUGUGAAUCUAUAGUUGAAAAUUAGUAAAUAUAAAGAUGGUACAAUUUGUUAAGAUGAAGAUAUGACAAAGAAAAUAAAUAAUUAAAAGGGCAGACAAAUCUAAUGGAAUCUCAUCAAACACUUGAGCCAGUUGGGGAAAUUUUAACUAAAAAUAAAUUAAGUACAACAUGUAGACAAUUCUUUACUUGAAAAAUAUUUCCAUUUUUUAAAUUAUUAUUAUUAUUAUUUUUGGCAUCACCUGUCAACAUUUUUUUAUUUCUAUUUUGGAAUCUUACCAAAUUGGAAAUCAGGUGAUGAUAAUAGUACUUGGAAAGAGUACAGGUUGUAUAAAGCAUAUACUUUGGGUAUAUAUAUAUAUAUAUAUAUAUAUAUAUAAAAGUAUUUGCAUCCCCUCCACUUUUAAUUAUCUUGUUGUAUUUUUCGAAAGUUAAAUUGAUUUAUAUUUAUUUAAUAUAUUAAAUGAAAAAAUUAAAUAUUUAAAAAUUAUACGAAAAGUAUUAUAAAUUGAAUUCUUUUGUACAUCAAUAUGAUGCAAAAAUAUAUCGUAAAAAUUAAUCAAAAUUCUUAUUGUUUGACUAUAAAAAGAAAACCAUUAACCAUGACUAUAGAAAAUAAUUAAAAAGAAAAUUGUUUCAAAAUUAAAGGUACUUUUUAGAAAAUAUUUAUCACCUAAUAUUAUCAAAAUUGAGUAUUUUCAAGUUUCAAUUAACAAUAUUACUCUAUCAUAAUAAAAAUCAUAUUAUUUUAUUUUUUUGUUGAAAGUGGUUUUUAUUGUCUAAUCAGAAAAAUAAUCAGUAGUAUUAUAUAAUAGUAUAAGAUAAGAAAAUUGAUGUGUUGAUUUCAAAUAAAGUUGGGAACUUUAGAAUUGUAUUGGACUUACAAACAUUAUCAAAAAGUCAGGAUAAGAAUAUGACACUUAUUUUAUCUCAUUCAUUCUUCAAUCUUUAUCAAAGAAAGAAAAUUUUGCUAGUCCUUUUCCUUAAAUGGAGCUUUACGUCCCAUAAAUUUAAAUUAGUUAAAUUCUAAUCGAAUAUUGAUACCAAAAAAUAAAAAAUAAUAAAAUAAAGAUUUAUCAAGCAUAUCUCUUUCGCACAAGAGAAUGCUAUAUAAAGUACUAUUUCCGUCCCUAGUUAUUUGUCCAUUUUUUCUUUUACAGUUGUCUUUAAUUACUUGUUCAUUUUAACAAAUCAAGAAAUGACAAAUUUUUUGACCUAUUAUAUCCAUAAUUAAAUGACUAAUUACUUUGAAAAAUGUGAAAAUACUUUGAAAAAUGUAAAAAUUUUCAUCCACUUCAUAAUUAAUAGGGAUUAAAUGGUAAACUCACUACGUCAUUAAUUAUUUUCUUAAUAGGUUUGUCAAUUCAAAAGUGGACAAGUAAAAAGGGACAGAGAGAGUAGUAAAUAAAAGUAUAAUGAUAAACUUAUCAAUUUUCUUAAGGGACGUGAAAUCUUGACUUCAAGAGAACUUGAAUUUAAGAGAUUAUUAGAUAAGGGUAUAUGAUAAAUUUACCUAAUCUUUUUAAGAAACGGUAAAUUUUAAACUGAUGAUAUAUAAAUAGAAAUUGAGGGAGUAGUUUUUUAGUGUUGUUAAAUCACCGAUCGACAUUAGUUACAGACAUUUACAAGAGUCUAAAACUACAUAUUUAAUACUCCCUACGUUCUUUUUAUAUGUCACUUUUUAAAAUUACACUUGUAUUAAAAAAAUUAAAUAAUUUUACUCUUUUAUUCUUAUUUAAUAUUUUAUUUAGUUAAUUUUUCAAUAAAUGAUGAAUAUGUUAUAUUUCAAAUUGACUAUUUAAAUUUUUGUGUUUAUUUUCAAGAUCAAAUUUUAUAGAAGACUACUGAAUGGUGAGAAUAAUUAAUCAAUGUAUAAAGAACUCCAAUGAAUAUUAAUUACUUAUCAGUUUUCAUAGGUCGAUUAAAAUAUAUAUUUUUAAGACUAAUUAACUAUUAUAUCAAAGAUAAAGUAAGAAGAAUAUAGUAAUUUAUACAUUAAUUAUAUGAAAUGACACAUAUUAAGAUCUAACUAUUUAUAGAAAGUUAUACUUACAAAAAUGAACGAAAAAAGUAAUAAUUAAGCUAUUUUCAUUAAUUAGUCACUCUUUUUUUAACGUAUGAUUUUGAUCUUCUUGCUAACAUUUUAAUGUUAACUAUGUAUUUGAUUGGAAAAUCUCAGAUUCUUUACGGUCACUUCAAAUAUAGAAUCCAACCAAAAAUAAAGGGAAUUAUAUAAAACAAAUCCAAACAGAAAAAUCAUAUUCAACCAAAAAAAUAACACCAAAAUUUCUGAAAUUCCAUAGUCAAAAUAUAAAAAUUACAUUUAAUUACUCUCAAACUAUUUUUUUUUCCUCUUCACUUCCUCCUCAUAAUUAACAACAAUAAUCAUCAACCUCUUUCUGACUCUGUCACCACCACCAGAACAAAUAAAUACAUUUAAUUUGUCUGGGGAAAAUACCACUAAUUAAUUAACAACCUUAAAAAAAAAAUUAAAAAUUUACCCACAUCUCAUUGGAACCCAGCAAACCUUCAGAAAAUUAAAUUCUGAGUUCUAGGAUGGUUUUAAAAUUUCAAAAAAAAAAAAAAAAACUAACCCUAAAUCUUCCUCUUUCAAACAAGUGAAUCGAACCGGAUUGAACCGAAUCGAACUGAACCGGGGUUUUGUGAAACCCGGUUUAAACUCUAGCAUUAUGCAAAAGAGGAGAAAAUCCUUGUGAAGCAUCUUCUUUACAAGACUGACCGAACCGGACCGGUUUUUUAAAAGCCCGGUUUAAACUCUAGCAUUAUGCAAAAGAGGAGCAAAUCCUUGUGAAGCAGCUUCUUUACAAGACUGAUCUAAACCAUUCAUCAUCUCAUCUAAACCCAAAUGACCGAACCGGUCUUCAUCCCGGUUCAAUAACCUUAAUAUCUCCGAAAAGUAGUCCACUUCACAAGGCAAAACUAAACCGCCGGUUCUUUGAUACCCAAACUCCUCCUCUGCUUUAUCAAGUAGAGAUAUAAAUACAGGGAGGUUCAAGAACCGGGUUGGUAUAACGAACCGGGUUCGUUCUGGACCGACGUAAACCGCUAAAGAUCCUGAAGGGGUGCGACGACGGCGGUUCGAACCGGGUAAAACCGGUUCAUCUGAAUCGGAUGAGGAAUAGGAUAAAACGCCACGGCGCUUAAGGGAUUUAUGUUUCCAUCGCUUAACAACUUGUUUGAGACGUACAAUUUGAGUAAUCAUAUUCACUUUUUUAAUGGUGGAAGCCAUUGUGUGGGUGUGUGAAUUUUUUGUGAUGAGAAGAGUGAGUGAGUGUGAGAGAAAGGAGGAGGUGUUUUGGUGUUUUGGGACUUGUUAUUAUAGAGGGAAAUUUGUUUGGAAGAGUUGAGGUGGGGUGGGGUGGGGGUAAGUAGGGUGGUGGGGUUGUAGAAAAAGUGUAGUAGUACUAAAUUCCAUUGAGUUUGUUUCCUUCUUGUACUUAUUUGAUUUGAUCAAGAUAGUCUUCCAAAAACAUUUUUGGAAAAAUGGUAAUAGUUCGUUAAAAGGUAAGUUAUUUGUAGUUUAUUUGGAUUGACUUAAAGUCAGUUAAAUUGACUUUUAAGUUUGUUUUUGAUUUUUGGAAAUGUUUGAUAAGUAUAAAAAAUAACGUAAAAUAAGUUAAAAAUGACUUAAGAUAAGUUACGAAGUGUUUGACUAGGUAAAAGAAUAACUUAAAAUAAGUCAGAAAUCAAAAGUAGGUCUUUCCCUAUUUAUUAUUUUUUUGACUUAAAUGUUAUUUCAGUUUGACUUGUUAUUUUUUACUUAAAAACUAUUUUUUCUAAGUCAAUCUAAACGGGUUCUUAUUUAGGUAUGAAAUUAAUGUGGUGUUAAUUUGAUUUCACAUAAAAUAAUACAUAUGUACAAGUUAUAACGAAAGAUAUGAAUUAUUUUAGUAUAAAAUAAAUAGACUUCAAUGAUUCUGGUGUUAGUUGCAUCAUAUUUCGGAAGUUUAUUAAAUUACUAUAAUCCUAGAUUAUUCAUAAUUUGUUGAUAUAUUACUCUUUCGCUCGAUACAUAUCAAAAGAUACGUGAGUUAUGUAUCAGAUGUAUAAUUUAUAAUUUAUGUAUUUAUAGACAUUGAAAUUUUGUGAAAUUCUACAAGAUGCGUUCAAUUUGAGUUGGAAUUCUACAAAUUACGUUCAACUCAGAUAAGGAUUCUUGGAGGCUACUCAACCCUAAACCCUAGUUUAUGCCUAUAUAAAGGGUACUAAAUUACCUUAAAAGGCAUCUCGAAAAAUUCACAAAGAGAUCAAGAUUUCGAAUAUUCCACAAAUUGAUGGAUUAUUCAUAUAGAGAGGUCAAAUCUAAAUCAUCCUAGUUCGAGAAAUAUGCCACUAACGGUCCUUGAAUCAUGGAUAAAUCAUCUUAGAGAGUAGAACUAAGGGAGGAACAAAUUUGUACUCACAAUCUUGAUGAAUAAAAUCAUGUUUCUUCAUAUUUUAUUUGUAUGUCUUAUUUAUUUUUCAUAUGUUUACAGUUUGUUGCAAAAAUAUUGGCACGCCCAGUGGGACCAAAUCUGCCCUUCAUCUCUUCUCUCUUAAAUCAAAUAUGAAAAUCUGAAGCUGCAAAGGUGGAAGAAUGAGUAUCUCAAACCUCGUCUUUGAGUUUCACAAGUCUACACUCCGUCAAGCCUUGAAGCAGGGGGCUUUGUAGACAUUGAAAUUUUGUAGGAUUCUACAAGAUGCGUUCAAUUCGAGUUGGGACUCUACAAAUUGUGUUCAACUCAGAUAAGAAUUCUUAGAGGCUACUCAACCUUAAACCCUAGUUUAUGCCUAUAUAAAGGGUACUAAAUCUCCUUAAAAGGCAUCCCGAAAAAUUCAUAAAGAGAUCAAGAUCUCGAAUACUCCACAAAUUGAUGGAUUAUUCAUAUAGAGAGGUCAAAUCUAAAUCAUCCUAGUUCGAGAAAUACGCCACUAACGUCCCUCGAAUCAUGAAUAAAUCAUCUUAGAGAGUAGAAUCAAGGAAGGAACAGAUUUGUAAACUCACAAUCUUGAUGAAUAAAAUCAUGCUUCUUCAUAUUUUAUUUGUAUGAUUUAUUUAUUUUUCAUAUGUUUAAAAUUUGUUGCAAACAGUAUCAGAUAUAUAAUUAUAAACCAUAUUCAUACUGAUUUAGGUAUGUAUUAAUUGUGGUUAUAUAUCAACAAUGACAUUUAUUUCAUAUAUUGCACGGAAACAAAAUUAUAAUGUACGAGGUGGAGUAAUGUAACCAAAUGUCAAGAGGAGGAGAAGAUGGUCCUUUCGUAAUCAAUUCAAAUGAUAGAGAUUUUUUUUUAGAUCAAAUUGCGUAAUUAUCUUAUAAGUAAACUUUGCAUCAUAAUUUAUAAUCCCAACAUAAAAUAAUACAUAAGUUAUCUCAUAACUAAUUUAUACUCACUUCAUUAAGUUAAUUUUUGAUAUGUUUCACAUCUUUUAAGAAAAGUAGAUUAAGACAUAAAUUGGACCUAGUAUUUUAUUUAUACGCUUAUUUAUUAUUGUUAAAUUUAUGAUUAAAAAUAACUAAAUGUUAAUUAAUCAUUAAUUUCAAUACUAAUUAAUAAAGGAUAAAAUUGAAAGAACACUCUAAAAAUAGUUUUGAAAACUAAACAAUUAAGUUAAUUUGAAAAUGAAAAAUGUCUCAAAAAUUAACUUACUGUUAUAAAAUCAAGCUCAUAAGAAUAUAAUCAUAAAGAGAAGAAGACAAGAGAAGUAGAUAGAAGAAAAGGAUUUUUCUUCUUAUUAAAGUGUAUGUAAGUCUCAUCUGUAUAUCUUACAAUAGUGAAUGAACAACCCUAUUUAUAGAGUGAGAAAUCACUCCAAAGGUCACCAUAUUAAGUAUCAUAAUAAAUAGAUACAUUUUUAUCCAAAAAGGUUCAUGUAACCUAGUGAAUAUGAAUGGUUGUUCAUGUACCAACCUUAUGGACUAUCCACUUAUUCAAUGAAUUUAUAACACUCUCCCUUGGAUGUCCAUAGAUAAUGUGCCUCGUUAAAACCUUACUAGGAAAAACCCUGUGGGAAAAAAUUCUAGUGAAGGAAAAAGAGUACACAUAUCUUUUGAUACGCACCAUUUGUUGCCUCAUUAAAAACCUUGCCAGGAAAACCCAGUGGGAAAAAACCUCGAUCAAGGGAAAAAGAGUGCAACACGUAUUGUACUCCCCCUGAUUAAAACAUCACUUAAUUUCUUGUGAUGAUGUCUCCAAUCUUCGUACAUUGUGGUUGGUAUAUUCUUUUUUAAAAAAAACCCACACAUUUCUUGAAUAUGGUGUGUCAUUUAUCUUAACCAGACGCGCUUUUGACUUGCUUCAUGGAGGACUUUUAUUUCUGUAGAGCAACAUUUGCUUCAUUGAUCCCCAGGAUAUUAUUGUGCCUCCACAUGCAAACACAUAGCGUGAUUGAGAUAGAACUUUAUGCAGAUCAGAUAAAUAUUCUGCAUCUGCGUAACCAAUCAAUUUUGUCUUGGAUUCCUCGGAAUAGAAUAAGACCAUAACUAUGGCCCUUCGAGGAUAUUCAAUCAUGUGUUCAACACCAUUUCAAUGUCCUUUUAUCGGGGAGAAAUUGAAUCUUGCCAGUAAAUUUACUGCAAAACAAAUAUCUAGUCAAAUAUUGUUAGUAAGAUGCACUAGUGCCCUGAUUGCACCAAAAUAGAGUUUCAUCACCAAGAAACUCAUCAUCCUUCUUUUGAGAUCAAACUGAAUCAUCAUUUAUGUUAAGUGAUCUCAUAAUCAUUGGGGUACUCAAUGAAUGCGAUUUAUCCAUAUAAAAUUGCAUCAAAACUUUUCAGUGUAUGUGCACUGUUAGACAAAUAUUUCAUUUGUCAAAUUAUCAAUCUGUAGGUCAAGACAAAAUUUUGUCUUACCAAGACCUUUUCAUAAAAAUACAAGGACUAUUAGGGUCAUUCUUUUGUACCCUUUUUCUUCCUUGACUAUUUCAAUCCAUAUAAGGAUUCUUGAAGCUUUAUUGGAAAAGUUUCUUUCAAACUCUUAUAUGCUUCAGACACCUCGAUUGUUUCAAGGAUUUUCAUAUAAUCUUCAUUGUCUAGCUAGACAUUACAAUUAUUCAUUUACAUGCAUUCGAAACUUAAAAAGUUUCUUUUGAGACUUACUACAACCCCAAUAUUAUUCCUCUGAUAAUAACACAACUCGUUAGAGCUUGCAAUUAAUUUUGUGUACUAUAACAUAUUGCAUGACAUCAUCCCUUUGGUGAGCAUCUCCUUCAAGGAGGAAAUUAUAUUAUUAUUGUCAUGGUCAAAAUCAUUACGAGCAAGACGUCUUUCUUGCUUUACUUUUGUUGUACCAUAGGUACACAACCAAUGACAAAUUUGUAUUGCCACACAAUAAUGACCACAACCCUUAUAGGCAAGAACUAUUUCUUUCUUUUGCCCUUUCGGUAGUUUAUAUCAUAGUGACGUAUAAAACGUACAAUACAAUUAGCCAUUUCUACCAAAUAAAAUUUAUUUCCUCUCAAAUCUCCCGUAGAGAUGAGAAGUGACAUGUAUCAUUUUUUUUCUCAAACCUUCUAUAGAGGUGAGUUGUGACAUAUAUCCAAUCCAUAAUGAUUUUAUCAUAUCUGAACCCAUUCUCUUAUAGAAUGGUCGAGCAUUCACG